rnacentral:rRNA from 1 species
UCCAGCUCCAAUAGCGUAUAUUAAAGUUGUUGCGGUAAAAAAGCUCGUAGGUGGAUUUCUGUUGAGGAAGGCCGGUCCAUACCAUGUAUGCGCAUCUGGUUCCUCCUCGGCAUCCUCUCGAGAAACGUUUUUGCGCUUGAUUGCGUGAUGCGGGUUUCGGGACUUUUACUUUGAGGAAAUUAGAGUGUUCACGGCAGGCUAUCGCCAGAAUACAUUAGCAUGGAAUAAUAAGAUAGGAUUCCGGUUCUAUUUUGUUGGUUUCUAGACCUGGAAUAAUGAUUAAUAGGGACAAUUGGGGGCAUCCCUACUAAGGCGUCAGAGGUGGGAUUCUUGGAUUGCCUUAUGAGGAACUACUGCGAAAGCAUUUGCCAAGGGUGUUUUCAUUACUCAAGAACGAAGGCUAAAGGAUCGAAGAUGAUUAGAUACCAUCGUAGUUUUAGCAGUAAACUAUGCCAACUAGCAAUGAGGGAUCGAUAUUUCUCGUCCUCCCUCGCGGCUUAUGAGAUAUCACAAGUUUUUGGGUUCCGGGGGGAGUACGGUUGCAAAAUUGAAACUUAAAGGAAUUGACGGAAGGGCACCACCAGGAGUGGAGCCUGCGGCUUAAUUUGACUCAACACGGGGAAACUCACCAGGUCCAGACAUAAUAAGGAUUGACAGAUUGAUAGCUCUUUCUUGAUUUUAUGGGUGGUGGUGCAUGGCCGUUCUUAGUUCGUGGAGUGAUUUGUCUGCUUAAUUGCGUUAACGAACGAGACCUUGAUCUGCUAAAUAGAAGCGCCUAUCUUCGGAUAAGCGCCUUUCUUCUUAGAGAGACUGCAUGCGUUUCAGUAUGCGGAAGUUCGAGGCUAAAAC